rnacentral:sRNA from 1 species
AGCAGCCGCGGUAAUUCCAGCUCCAAUAGCGUAUAUUAAAGUUGUUGCAGUUAAAAAGCUCGUAGUUGAACCUUAGGCCCGUGCGGGUGGUCCGUCCUCUGGGCGAGCACUGCCUCGUCGCGGGUCUCACCUUCUGGCGAGCGUGGAUGCCAUUCACUUGGUGUCGGCGGGAACCAGGACCUUUACCUUGAAAAAAUUAGAGUGCUCAAAGCGGGCUCGUACGCUUGAAUACAUUAGCAUGGAAUAAUGAAGUAGGACGACGGUUCUAUUUUGUUGGUUUCCGGGACAGUCGUAAUGAUUAAUAGGGAUAGUUGGGGGCAUUCGUAUUCAAUUGUCAGAGGUGAAAUUCUUGGAUUUAUUGAAGACGGACUACUGCGAAAGCAUUUGCCAAGGAUGUUUUCAUUAAUCAAGAACGAAAGUUGGGGGAUCGAAGACGAUCAGAUACCGUCGUAGUCUCAACCAUAAACUAUGCCGACUGGGAAUCGGGCGAUGUUAUUUUUCGUGACUCGCUCGGCGCCCC